rnacentral:rRNA from 1 species
UAAGAAGCGUAGUAAAACGUACCCCGCCCAACGGAUCCGGACCCCGAAAAUUGAUGGCGCUCGAACGCAACCUCGAACCCCGCCGACGGAGCGUAGGGAGGCCCCGUCGAGUAGGCGGACGCGCGGGUCGCUUCGACGCUCUCGCGCGAGCGGGGGCGGAGCGGCCCGUGGUGCAGAUCUUGGUGGUAGUAGCGAUCACCCAGGCGAGAACCCCUGAGGGCCGAAGUGGAGAAGGGUUUCUCGAGAACGGCACUCGCUCGAGAGUUAGUCGAUCCUAAGCUGCCGGCGGCAGCCACGAAACGGUCGAUCGGGCGCGAGCCCGGCAGCCACGACCGGGCAGCGAAAGGGGAAUUGGGAACCUCCUUCCCAAACCCGGAACCGGAACGAGGGCGA